rnacentral:lncRNA from 1 species
AAAGUUAGCAGUGGAGAAACAUCGCAGAGUGUGUCCGGUGUUUUUUUGUAAUUCUCUCCCGUUUCAGCAGAGCAGGCGAAAUCCCAUCAGAAGAGCUGUGAAAAACCACUCGGCUGAUAUUGGAUUAAGGAGAGCAGCCAAAAACGUCAAUGAACAAACCCCAGCACCUCUUGAAAGGAUUACAUCUAUUGACAUUUUGACAUUUGUAUACACAAAUUAUAUCCACGUUUUGGAGGAUUGAGAUGUUUGUCUGCCAGCCAGGAACGGGCCUUCACACUUGACUGAUGGGAGACCAGUUUCACCCCAAAAUCAGCUCACAACAAUAAAAUAUUGUUGUUGGUGCUGUUGUUAAUAGUAUUUUUAUUAUUUAAUAGUAACUUUGUUAUGCCUUGUGCUUUUUAUUGAUUUUAUUGGAUUAUUUUAAUCCAUUCAGAUAAAUAAAACAAUAAAUUGCAAUAUAAAAGUAUUAUAUUUAUUAAUAUCAAUUAUAUAUAUAUAUAUAUAUAUAUAUAUAUAUAUAUAUAUAUAUAUAUAUAUAUAUAUAUAUAUAUAUAUAUAUAUAUAUUAUAUGACUAUAAUAAUUAUUGAAAACAAUACAACAAUAAAUAACUUGUAACAAUCUUUAAACCAAAUAUUCAUUUAUUUUCUUUCUUUCUUUGUAUUUCUCAUGCUCAAAGCUUUAGUUACUCUUUUGUUUUUAUUUUUAUGUCUAAAUCUUAUUUUGUUUAUAUGUAUAAAUCUCUAUUUAUUU